UUGAAUUAAGUGCUUUUGUUGCAUUGUGUAGAUGCUGCCAGUAGGAUUUGCAGAUGUUAUCCCAGGGAAGGAUGAUGCUCCUCACAAGUUCAGUGCUCAGAUGUCACAGAGGUACACUUGGACUGGAUCCACAUCUGAGCAGUAGCAAGCAGGUACACAGAGCGCUUCAGGUACAUAGUGCCACUCUUGGCUGCUUUGUGGUGAAUCUGUGAGACUCCAACAAACUCUUCCAUCUGAAAAUGGUCUCAAACACUCCCCUGUAAAUUCAUGUGGCUACUGAAAACAGGAUCCCUUUGCUCUUGUUUAUAAAGACAGUGCAGUCUGGCUUGUUUCCACUGUGCUGUUUCUCUUUUAAUGGACUGCUCCAAAUGCUCUCAUGCUGUGCAGUGAAGCAUAAGUAUUUUGCAAAUGGUACUGGCCCGUGUGCUGAGUGAGGAAGCAGAGGUCUUCCUGUAUAAUCCGAUUUCAAUCAACUCACUCUAAUCACUACUGAUAGUUGCAAAAUUUAGCCUGGAUCUGCGCUGGUAAUCUAGAUUGACAGGAGGUAAAAGUAAAAGGACAGAAGGGCAGAGGAACAAAGAGAAACGAGCAGAAACAGUGAUUUUCAGCCUUUGCUUGCUGCUCUGGGACGCGUGUCCGUGCCGGCGGGGAGCCCAGCGCUGCGGGAGGGUGCUGAGAACAGGUGCCCUCUGCGGGGCUGGAGUGGCAGCCACCACGCCACGGGCACAGGCAGUGCAACAGGUACCUGCCUGAGCUGUUGGCAUGCAUUAUUUACUAACAUCGAGAUCACAAUGCUCUUUAUUACUCUAAGGAUCCUGGGGUAGUCAGGCAAAGCAGCGGUUAAACAGUGCAGACACAACUGUGUGUGUCUUUGACAUCCUCUGAAGGCGAGUGGCUCCCAGUGCUUCAUUCUCCUGUGAGAUCAGUGCUUGGCUGGAAGCUUGGAGGAUAACUGGACUCUGCAUUUUCUCACUGGGCAGGUGAAGUGUCUGUGAGAUUUUCAAGGAAAAGGAACUCCUCAUGAUGCAAGUUACAUCACAAGUAAUGAACACAUGGGAUCUGCGAAAUGAUGUUCUCCUUGUGAUGGUGUAAAUUCUUUGUUGUAUAUACAGCACUUUUAAGACUGAUGAGGAAGCAUAUCAGGAGAUGAGAAAUACAUGACAAAGGAGAGAGGGGCCUCUGAACUCUCCAUCAAAAGUAGUUCCAUCUCUGGCAAUACUGGCUGUGCUUUUUAUCCCAUGUACAG